GCGCGAGUGUCGGAAUUGGCAGCCGCGCUGGAUUUAGGUUCCAUGUCUCAGGACGUGUGGGUUCAAGUCCCCCCUCGCGCACCA
rnacentral:tRNA from 1 species